rnacentral:rRNA from 1 species
UGGGGAAUUUUGGACAAUGGGCGCAAGCCUGAUCCAGCCAUGCCGCGUGCGGGAAGAAGGCCUUCGGGUUGUAAACCGCUUUUGUCAGGGAAGAAAUCUUCUGAGUUAAUACCUCGGGAGGAUGACGGUACCUGAAGAAUAAGCACCGGCUAACUACGUGCCAGCAGCCGCGGUAAUACGUAGGGUGCAAGCGUUAAUCGGAAUUACUGGGCGUAAAGCGUGCGCAGGCGGUUUUGUAAGACAGAGGUGAAAUCCCCGGGCUCAACCUGGGAACUGCCUUUGUGACUGCAAGGCUUGAGUGCGGCAGAGGGGGAUGGAAUUCCGCGUGUAGCAGUGAAAUGCGUAGAUAUGCGGAGGAACACCGAUGGCGAAGGCAAUCCCCUGGGCCUGCACUGACGCUCAUGCACGAAAGCGUGGGGAGCAAACAGGAUUAGAUACCCUGGUAGUCCACGCCCUAAACGAUGUCAACUGGUUGUUGGGAAGGUUCCUUCUCAGUAACGUAGCUAACGCGUGAAGUUGACCGCCUGGGGAGUACGGCCGCAAGGUUG